CCUACGGGGGGCUGCAGUGGGGAAUAUUGGACAAUGGGGGGAACCCUGAUCCAGCCAUGCCGCGUGUGUGAAGAAGGCCCUCGGGUUGUAAAGCACUUUCAGUGAGGAAGAACGCCUGGUGGUUAAUACCCAUCAGGAAAGACAUCACUCACAGAAGAAGCACCGGCUAACUCCGUGCCAGCAGCCGCGGUAAUACGGAGGGUGCGAGCGUUAAUCGGAAUUACUGGGCGUAAAGCGCGCGUAGGUGGCUUGAUAAGCCGGUUGUGAAAGCCCCGGGCUCAACCUGGGAACGGCAUCCGGAACUGUCCAGCUAGAGUGCAGGAGAGGAAGGUAGAAUUCCUGGUGUAGCGGUGAAAUGCGUAGAGAUCGGGAGGAAUACCAGUGGCGAAGGCGGCCUUCUGGACUGACACUGACACUGAGGUGCGAAAGCGUGGGUAGCAAACAGGAUUAGAUACCCUAGUAGUC
rnacentral:rRNA from 1 species